AUGAACGCUAGCUACAGGCUUAACACAUGCAAGUCGAGGGGCAGCAUGGUCUUAGCUUGCUAAGGCUGAUGGCGACCGGCGCACGGGUGAGUAACACGUAUCCAACCUGCCGUCUACUCUUGGCCAGCCUUCUGAAAGGAAGAUUAAUCCAGGAUGGGAUCAUGAGUUCACAUGUCCGCAUGAUUAAAGGUAUUUUCCGGUAGACGAUGGGGAUGCGUUCCAUUAGAUAGUAGGCGGGGUAACGGCCCACCUAGUCAACGAUGGAUAGGGGUUCUGAGAGGAAGGUCCCCCACAUUGGAACUGAGACACGGUCCAAACUCCUACGGGAGGCAGCAGUGAGGAAUAUUGGUCAAUGGGCGAUGGCCUGAACCAGCCAAGUAGCGUGAAGGAUGACUGCCCUAUGGGUUGUAAACUUCUUUUAUAAAGGAAUAAAGUCGGGUAUGCAUACCCGUUUGCAUGUACUUUAUGAAUAAGGAUCGGCUAACUCCGUGCCAGCAGCCGCGGUAAUACGGAGGAUCCGAGCGUUAUCCGGAUUUAUUGGGUUUAAAGGGAGCGUAGAUGGAUGUUUAAGUCAGUUGUGAAAGUUUGCGGCUCAACCGUAAAAUUGCAGUUGAUACUGGAUGUCUUGAGUGCAGUUGAGGCAGGCGGAAUUCGUGGUGUAGCGGUGAAAUGCUUAGAUAUCACGAAGAACUCCGAUUGCGAAGGCAGCCUGCUAAGCUGCAACUGACAUUGAGGCUCGAAAGUGUGGGUAUCAAACAGGAUUAGAUACCCUGGUAGUCCACACGGUAAACGAUGAAUACUCGCUGUUUGCGAUAUACGGCAAGCGGCCAAGCGAAAGCGUUAAGUAUUCCACCUGGGGAGUACGCCGGCAACGGUGAAACUCAAAGGAAUUGACGGGGGCCCGCACAAGCAGUGGAGUAUGUGGUUUAAUUCGAAGCAACGCGAAGAACCUUACCAGGGCUUGACAUAUAAAGUAAUAUUUAAGAGAUUAAAUAGCUCUUCGGAGACUUUAUACAGGUGGUGCAUGGUUGUCGUCAGCUCGUGUCGUGAGAUGUUGGGUUAAGUCCCGCAACGAGCGCAACCCUUAUUGCCAGUUACUACGUAAGAGGACUCUGGCGAGACUGCCGUUGACAAAACGGAGGAAGGUGGGGAUGACGUCAAAUCAGCACGGCCCUUACGUCCGGGGCUACACACGUGUUACAAUGGGGGGUACAGAGGGCCGCUACCACGCGAGUGGAUGCCAAUCCCUAAAACCCCUCUCAGUUCGGACUGGAGUCUGCAACCCGACUCCACGAAGCUGGAUUCGCUAGUAAUCGCGCAUCAGCCACGGCGCGGUGAAUACGUUCCCGGGCCUUGUACACACCGCCCGUCACACCAUGAGAGUUGGGGAUACCCGAAGCCUGUGAGCCAACAUAUCUAUGAGGCAGCAGUCGAAGGUAGAAUCAAUGAUUGGGGUG
rnacentral:rRNA from 1 species